GAUCCUCUCAUCUCAGCCUCCCAAGUAACUGGGACCACAGGAUUCUAGACUGGGCUGGAGAGGUCCAAUUCUUCACUUUGCAGAAGAGGAAACUGAGGCCCCGAGAGGAGGUGGACCUGGAAGCCGUGACUCUCGCCUUCCUAUUCAGUGCUCUCAAUUCUCCUGAAUUCCAGGAGCCUGGGCUUACCGUAGGAGCCUCCCAUGAAGGCUGGGAUGUGGUUCCCUGAGCAGGGAGGGAGGAACUGGCCUCGGGACAGGCUGCAUGGGUGGCUCUGGCACACUGGCAAAGUCCUGUUUCCUGGGACCUGGGAGGUGGUUUCCUGGGUGUUCACUUUGUAUAACUUAUUAAGCUCUACAUUUAUGGGUUAUUCAAUUUUUGGUAUUUGUGUUAUAUUUCACAAUAAAAAGGGUUUAAAAAUCCUAA